GACGAACGCUGGCGGCGUGGAUUAGGCAUGCAAGUCGAACGGUAUCAUCCUUUCGGGGGUGAGAGAGUGGCGAACUGGUGAGUAACACGUAGGUUAUCUACCCUCAAGACGGGGACAACCCAGGGAAACUUGGGCUAAUACCGGAUGUGAGCAACUUUUAGUUGUUUGAAAGGUGGCGUAAGCUGUCGCUUGGGGAUGAGCCUGCGUCCUAUUAGUUAGUUGGUGAGGUAACGGCUCACCUAGGCAAUGAUAGGUAGGCGGCCUUAACGGGUGGUCGCCCACACUGGGAUUGAGAUACGGCCCAGACUCCUACGGGAGGCAGCAGUCGAGAAUAGUCUACAAUGGUCGGAAGACUGAUAGUGCGACGCCGCGUGAACGAUGAAUCCCUUCGGGGUGUAAAGUUCUUUUAUAUGUGAGCAGUGCUUCUUAUAUUAACAGUAUGGGGAAGAGAUAUUAGCAUAUGAAUAAAGCAAACGGCUAAACUCCGUGCCAGCAGCCGCGGUAAUCUCG
rnacentral:rRNA from 1 species